rnacentral:snRNA from 1 species
CACUCUUGUUCUCUUCAGAUCGUAUAAAUCUUCGCCUUUUACUAAAGAUUUCCGUGGAGAGGAACAACAAGAGGUUUAAUCACUUUUUGAUGCCCUGCUAUGUGGGGCU